GUAAGUAGCAAAUGGGCCCAAGAAAAUGCUAAGAACAAGAAGAUCCAUUUUUGGGUCACCCAUUUGGGUCCGAAUGUUGACAAAGCCAGAGCACUGAAGCAGAACAACCAACAAGGAGAAGAAGAUGGAUGCGAAAGAUUGGAACCUUCUGGAUGAAGCGUUAGGGCUUCACAACAACAACGCGAAGCCAUGGCCUCUGUGUGGUCGCUUCGUGCUUGUUGAGGACUGUGUCGACACAAGCGCCGCUUUCGUUCUUCAUCACAUUCUCAAGCGCUCCUUCUCUUCUCACCCUUCUUCAGCCCUUCUCUUCAUCGCCUUCUCUCACCCCUUUUCCCACUACGAUCGCGUCCUCCGAAAACUUGGUUGUAACUUAGCUGCUCAAAGAGAUAAUGGCAGAUUCCUUUUCCUUGACAUGCUUAUGUUGCAGUGUCCAGAUGAAGGGAAACCCAAUCAUGAUGGGCUUGCUUCUAUAUUUGAGAAAAUUGAAAGAGUGAUUGCUGCGUUACAUCAAGACAAGAAAUUCAUCUCUAUCAUAAUAGAUGAUAUAUCUUUUCUUGAAAUUGCUGCUAACGGCUCUUCAAAUGAUGUUUUGAACUUGCUGCAUUAUUGCCACACGUUAACUUCAGAAUAUGGUUGUGCAUUUAUUGCACUUGACCAUAAGGACAUUUAUUUGAAUGGAGACAAGGCUGCUGUUAUCUUAGAGAUGGAGUACGUUGCUGACAUUUUGGUCAAGGCUGAACCAUUGUCCACUGGUUUGGCAAAAGAUGUGCAUGGACAGUUGAUGGUGUUAGAUAAGGAAACACAACAUCAACAUGGAAUUUCGGCCAUUAAGACUCACAAUUUUCACUUCAAGAUCAAGGAAAAUGGCAUUGAGUGCUUUUAUCCUGGCACAAAAAUCUAAUGCUGAUCAAUAAUGCUUGUUGUACAACUGUAAUCUUGGAAGAAUCAGCAGUCUGUUGAUCUCCUAGUAACAACGUGCAAGGAUAGUUCAGAGAAUGCUGGAAGUGGUUCAGUGUCUCUUCCAGCAUCAGGUAUCAAGAACAAACCAGUUUCAGAGUCCAGUAAGGUGAAAACUUCAUCAAAGGGGAAAAAGAAACGAAAAGAGAUUCUUCAGAAGGUUGAUGCUGCUGGGUCAACAUCUAAUCUUUAUAAUGCAUACAAGGGACCUGAGGAAAAGAAAGAAACUGCUGUAAGUUUAGAGAAAACAGAACUUGAUGGAAAAGAAAGUGCUUCUACUUCUGGAAAUUUAGAGCAGAUGCCACUGAUGCGGCUGAGCCAGAUGCUGGAGCAGGUGAGAAAAAUAAGCAGAGUAAAGCUGAACUUGUUGAUUGGGAGGAUGCUGCUGACAUGUCUACUCCAAAGUCCAAAACUAAAACCUAACAGGAUACUGAUGGAAGUGCAGUUACUGCCAAAAAAGUAUUCUUGAGAUUUCUUUUUGAAAUUUGCAGAGCAAUGUACUGAUCUUCCUGAAGGGUUUGAAAUCACGGCAGACAUAGCUGAGGUUUUGAUGAGUGCUAAUGUUAAUUCUCAUGUAAUUGAAUGUGAUGUGAUUCACAUUCUUCUACUGGAAGAAGACAUAUGAUGGGUAUUAUUAGAUUGAUUGGAGAACUAUAUACGAAGAAAAUGUUGGCAGAGAGGAUUAUGCAUGAAUGCAUCAAGAAAUUACCAGGUUAGUAUCAAGAUCUGGAUGAAGAAUAUAUUGAAGCUUUGUGCAAGCUGAUGAUUACUGUUGGGGAGAUGAUUGACCAUCCCAAAGCAAAGGAACAUAUGGAUGCAUAUUUUGAAAUGAUGAGAUCAUUAUCAGUCAGCACAAACUUAUCUUCUAGGGUGAGGUUGAUGUUGAAGGAUGUCAUUGAUUUGAGGAAGAAUAAUUGGCAACAAAGAAGAAAAGUUGAAGGCCUAAAGAAGAUUGAGGAGGUGCACAGAGAUGCUUCUCAAGAGCGGAUGAUUCAUGUUAUCUCCUAGUUCUCAGAUGGGUGGACUGCAUGGAUUGCCUACUCAAGUUCAAGGGUCUGGUUCUCAUGAUGUUCACAUGGAUGAAAGGCAAACUUAUGAGGCCAGGACAUUGUCAGUUCCCUUGCCUCAAAGACCUUCAGGUGACGAGUCAAUCACCUUGGUAUUUAUGGGUGGUCCUUCUAGAGGCAUGUCCAGUAGAGGUCCACCUGCAGUUUCAAGUUUGACUGGUCUUAAUGGUUAUAAUAAUUUGCCAGAGAGCAUUUCAUACAGCUCUAGGGAGGACCCUGCAUGGAGAUAUACACCAGAUAGAUUUUCCAGUUCAACUGCUUACGAUCAAUCUAGUGUUCAAGAUCGGAAAAUAAAUUAUGGCAGCAGGGACUUCAGAAAUUCAAAUAGGGUUCUUGAUAAACCAGUUGUAACUUCACCACCUGCCAGAAUGCAAGUGCUAGAGAUUUGAACGAAGUUGUUAUAUGCAUCAAAGAUCCGAACUCUCCAAGCUUUCAUCUUUCCAUGGUUUCUCUGAGUGAUGGACUCAUUUGAGAGAAAGGACACAGAGAGUUCUUUUGUCCCAGCUGCUUAUUUACCUUGUGAAAUCUGAGGAUGGACCCUUGGGUCAAGCCCAGCUUAAUAAAG